rnacentral:tRNA from 1 species
GCUGUUAUAGUUUAUUAAAAAAUAUGCGAUUUGUAAUCGUGAGAAGGGAGCAGCUU